AGCGCAUUCGUCUAUCGGCUAGGACGUGGCCUUCUCAAGGCUGAAGGACGGGUUCGAUUCCCGUAUGCGCUACCA
rnacentral:tRNA from 1 species